GACGAACGCUGGCGGCGUGCUUAACACAUGCAAGUCGAACGGUAAGGCCCUUCGGGGUACACGAGUGGCGAACGGGUGAGUAACACGUGGGUGAUCUGCCCUGCACUUCGGGAUAAGCCUGGGAAACUGGGUCUAAUACCGGAUAGGACCCUGGGAUGCAUGUCCUGGGGUGGAAAGCUUUUGCGGUGUGGGAUGGGCCCGCGGCCUAUCAGCUUGUUGGUGGGGUGAUGGCCUACCAAGGCGACGACGGGUAGCCGGCCUGAGAGGGUGACCGGCCACAGUGGGACUGCGAUACGGCCCAGACUCCUACGGGAGGCAGCAGUGGGGAAUAUUGCACAAUGGGCGCAAGCCUGAUGCAGCGACGCCGCGUGAGGGAUGACGGCCUGCGGGUUGUAAACCUCUUUCAGCACCGACGAAGCGCAAGUGACGGUAGGUGCAGAAGAAGGACCGGCCAACUACGUGCCAGCAGCCGCAGUAA
rnacentral:rRNA from 1 species